UACGUAGGGUGCAAGCGUUAAUCGGAAUUACUGGGCGUAAAGCGUGCGCAGGCGGCUUUGCAAGACAGAUGUGAAAUCCCCGGGCUUAACCUGGGAACUGCGCUUGUUACUGGCAGGCUGGAGUGUGGCAGAGGGGGGUGGAAUUCCACGUGUAGCAGUGAAAUGCGUAGAGAUGUGGAGGAACACCGAUGGCGAAGGCAGCCCCCUGGGCUAACACUGACGCUCAUGCACGAAAGCGUGGGGAGCAAACAGG
rnacentral:rRNA from 1 species